rnacentral:ncRNA from 2 species
AGAGGGGUAGGAAAGAUGAUGUUAAUGAUCGAUGGAACGGAAUGUGAACAUCGGUAGAAUGAAUUAGUGAUUAAUUCGACGUUUUCUUUUCGCAUUCACCAUA